AAGAGCUGCAAAAGUUCCUCAGAAAACGGCCACUAAAGUUUUAGCCGUGCGAAAUGAAAAUGUUCCGAAGGACAGGGUGAAUAUAAAAGCUGGGCAAUCAACCAGACAAGAUCCACAUGGUUCUCCCCAAUGCUCUAGCCUUGUGGUCGGUGAUAAGGAGUGUCCAGCUGUUCCUGGGAAAUCAACAAAGGACGCUAAGGAGGAAGCAGCAGAGACCUCCUCCGGGAAUGAUGACGUUGCUGAAGCCAGACCACCAACUGCAAUGCAAGUCACUGACUAAUGAUAUCAUUAAUGAAUCAAAACACGAUACGUUACUAAUGUCUCCGUUUGUAUUCUCCAAGGGACACCUGUGAUGCAAAAUCAAAAAGCAUGCCAAUGACUGACUUCAUCAAUUCAUCAAGUCCUACAGAGGAUGAGGAACAAGAUCCUGUUGUGAAGCCCAAAACACGGUAAAUCACCUUGAAGGCUGCAGUACAUAUGGUUUAAA